rnacentral:rRNA from 1 species
GCCAGACUCCUACGGGAGGCAGCAGUGGGGCCUCUUGCACAAUGGGGGCCCCCCUGAUGCAGCGCCGCCGCGUGCGUGCAGAAGUACUUCGUUAUGUAAAGCUCUCUCAGCAGGGACGAACAUGACGGUCCCUGAGUAAGAAGCCCCGGCUAACUACGUGCCAGCAGCAGCGGUAAUACGUAGGGGGCAAGCGUUAUCCGGAUUUACUGGGUGUAAAGGGAGCGGAGACGGCAGUGCAAGUCUGGAGUGAAAGGCGGGGGCUCAACCCCCGGACUGCUCUGGAAACUGUACGGCUGGAGUGCAGGAGAGGUAAGUGGAAUUCCUAGUGUAGCGGUGAAAUGCG